UACGUAGAGGGCAAGCGUUGUCCGGAAUCAUUGGGCGUAAAGAGCGUGUAGGCGGCUUGGUAAGUCCGCUGUGAAAGUCCAGGGCUCAACCCUGGAAUGCCGGUGGAAACUGUCAAGCUUGAGUCCGGAAGAGGCGAGUGGAAUUCCUGGUGUAGCGGUGAAAUGCGCAGAUAUCAGGAGGAACACCAAUGGCGAAGGCAGCUCGCUGGGACGGUACUGACGCUGAGACGCGAAAGCGUGGGGAGCGAACAGG
rnacentral:rRNA from 1 species